rnacentral:lncRNA from 1 species
CUGAGGGCUGCCGCCACACCAAAUCUUUGGCAAGGCUUAGGCAAGAACCUUUGGCAUUACAUUUUUGGCGGGCCAGCCAGGAGGAUCUCCAGGAAAGGCAUCUAGAUCGUCACGUGGCGAGUACGAUGGGACCUCUUUGGCUUGCUAUUCUAUCCUGUCCUUCCUUAGAAUUCAGAGGCUAAACCGGGCACCUGUCAGCCACUUAAAGGUGAUUAUCGCGGCCAUGGGACUAAAGACAGGGUGUCAGCCUCUCUGGAAAAGGGCUAACAACCCCUACCCUUUGGGACUGGGAAUGUUGGAUCGAGGCCAUCAAUCUACAGAUGAUCUUACACAUGGAACCUCAAAUGAGCUCAACUCAUGCUUCUACCAAGGACCCCUGGAUCCACCCGCUGGUCCCUCACUAGCCUAAAAACUUCUCCUCUGGAAGACACCACAACUACAGGUCCCCUUCUUUGCCCCUAACCAGCAGGAAGUAGCCAGAAUGACCGCCGCCCUGUUCCCAACAGCGGUUGGUGUGUCCUGUCUAGAGGGGGGACUGAGUUGGUUCCAGCUGGGCUUUCUGGGUUAAGUAGGGGCUCAGAAAGCUGCGAAACUCACUCAUUUCCUACAUCAUGGCUUACUUUGGUCCUGGAUGAAUAAUAUUGACGAUAUAUGCUUAAAAUAUUCCUAACAUCAGAAUUUGUGCAUGUGUUUUCUUCCCCCAAGAAAGCUAUAAAAAGCGAAACUUUUGCUGUAAGCUUACCUGUGUCCAUGCUCCCUCUCUCCCUUCCUCAUCCCCUGAAACUGAAAGGAAUUUUAACAGCCAGUUUUUCUGUGACCAGCAGAACUUGUCUAUGCUCCCAAUUCCAAUUCCUUGUAAACACAAUUUGUAAAAUCCUGUGAGAUUCUGUCUCCUUUGCCAUGCCACUGCAAGGUUAUAAAGUAGAUAAAACUUAAGUUACAAUUCUGGUUUUCCUCAAGACCUAAGACUUGUUAAUUGUCUUUGUUUAUCUCUCUGGAAACAUCUUCCCACCACAUGUAUUUUCUGCCUUAAAAGAAUUUAAAAGGUGAUCAAAAAAUCUAACACUGGCUACCCGCUCGGGACCCCUUCCAUGCUGUGGAAGCUUUGUACUGUCACUCUGCUCAAUAAAGCCUGCAGCUUUUUUUUCUCUCAGUUGAUCCAUGUCUCUCUCUCACCGAAGGCUGCCUCCACACCAAAUCUUUGGUGUGGCUAAGGCAAGAACCUUCGGCAUUAGACAAAUAUCAG